GAAUUGUCUUUUAUACAUGAAGAGUGAUUUUGUUUUAUUUUAGAAUUUUGAGAUAGAAUCUUGGAAGCCUUCCCUGGGUCACUGGAGUCCUGGCAUUACAGAAUUUUUUGUUUUGUUUUGUUUUAUUGUUUUUUAAGGUGCCAGUAACUGUCCUGUCUCUCAUUCACUUCCCUCGUUUGCACUGAUAGAGAAGAUGACUGUGGAGAUUUUCUGAGCCCGGUGCCUGCCUCUGGUGCCUGUCCUUUUCACUUGGUGGUGUGUGCUUUGUCUGGCGUCUUGUCCCCUCCUCUCCCACUUACUCUUCAAGUCACUGUCCUGGUGCUGGCUCUGCAUUGACUCUGACACUCACUCUCUCUCACUCUCUCUCUCUUUCUCUCUUCCUUCCUUCCUUCCUUCCUUCCUUCCUUCCUUUCUCUCUCUCUCUUCCUUCCUUCCUUCCUUUCCCUCUUUCUCUCUCUUCCUUUCUCUCUCUCUUUCUUUCUUAAUCUUUUUAUUGAUUUUUUUGUGUGAAUUUCAUACUGUGCACCCUCAUCCCACUCAUCACCCCUUCCCUUUGUAUCCACAUCUCCCCGCCCCACCCUUGCAAGUCCCCUUCCCACACGCAAAGAAAAUAAAAUAAGAUAGAAUAAACAAAAAACAAAAGUCUCUUGUCAUGGAAACUGUAGUGUGUCACACAUGUGUCAUGAAUGUGUCACGUAUGUGUCACCCUUUCUUACACAUCUUUACUUUCACUUUGAGUAGCCACAAAUCUUGAAAUCUUGGCUUUAAGUUCACUCACUGACCCACAGUGCGAUCGAUGGAUUGAUAUGCAGAUGGUGCUCUCUUUUCCAAAGGACCACAGGAGACUCAGGGAAGUAACUCCAGUGACUAAGGCCAAGAGAUCAUCAUUCCAUACGGUGACAAUUUUAAAUGGGAGUUGGAGUAAAAAUGUUUUAGGGAAAACCUGAGAAGCCUAGAUAAUGUCCGCUUUGUAGUCGACUGUGGACAGUUUUGCAGUGUGAUGUUCGCAUGGAUUGUCUUGCAGUACCUUAAUGAAGAGAAUGUAACAGAAGAAUUAAUUUAGAGUUAAUUCUUACACAUUACAAAAGACAGCUUAUUAUAAUAUAUAUUUUUUUCUUUUUUAAAAGAUUUAUUUACUUUAUGUAUAUGAAUACACUGUAGCUGUCUUCAGACACACCCGAAGGGGGCAUCAGAUCUCAUUACAGAUGGUUGUGAGCCACCAUGUGGUUGCUAGGAAUUGAACUCAGGACCUCUGGAAGAGCAGUCAGUGAGCCAUCUUUCUAGCUCUACAAUAUAUAUUUAAAUGUGUGCAUGUGCUUGUGAAUUCACGAGUAUGCAUGUGUGUGUGUGUGCACGCAUAUGAGUGCAUAUAGUUCUGUUAUUCCUAAAAUGAUAGGGAUGAGGAUUCUGGGAACCCAGAGUCCUAGCAGAGACGUGAAGAUUAGGAUCACACUCUGGGUUUUGCUUGCUUCUCUUCUUUACUUCCUCUUCUUCCUUUUCCUCUCUUCCUACUUCUCUCCUUUCUUUCUUCCUUCCUUCCUUCCUUCCUUCCUUCCUUCCUUCCUUCCUUCCUUCCUUCCUCCCUUCUUUCCCAAGAUGGAACUUCAUACUGUAGCCCAGGCUGGCUGUGAACUUGCAGACAUCUUUCUACUUAGGAGCCUGGGUACUGCAUUUCAAGGCAGGUAUGAUGAGCCUGGCGUAGACACCCAGUAUUUGAUGGUGGGGGAGAUAAGACCCAUCCCCGGCUCAGGUCUAUUGAGUCAGAAUCUGCAUUUUGACUAAAUCCUCGAGGAUUUGUAUACAAGAUGGUUGCAGGGAAGUUCUGUUUCUUUGGAUUUGGGAGAAGGCUGGGCAUGAAAACUGUCCAGACCUUAGGACUCGACUGGACCUGAAAAAUGAGCCUAUCUCAUUGAGGCUGGGAGAGUGGAUGCAGACCAGAGUGCCCAUCCUGCUGUGCUCCAGACAGCCUCCUCACCCUAGCAGCAGAGAACAAUGCUGCCCCACAGGUCAAUAACAACUAUGUUAAGAAACCUUGGCCUUGGGGCUGGUUGACAGCACGUAUUACUUUUACAGAGGACCCAAGUUUGGCUCUCAGUCCCCAUGGUGGGGAGCUCACAAUUGCCUGGAACUCCAAUUCCAGAGGAUACAAAUACUUCUGUCGGCUCCUGAGGAUAAUUUCACGCACAUCGACACAUCCACACCCACAGACAUAUACAUAAUUAAAAAUAAAUGUAAUAUUAAAAUAAAUAACUAGAGAAAGAUAGGUGGGUCUUUGUGAGUUUGAAAUCAGCCUGGUCUACAUAGCAAAUUUCAGGCCUCCCAGAGAUAUAUAUUGUGGCCCUAUCUC
rnacentral:lncRNA from 1 species